rnacentral:rRNA from 1 species
UAGUGAUCCGGUGGUUCUGAAUGGAAGGGCCAUCGCUCAACGGAUAAAAGGUACUCCGGGGAUAACAGGCUGAUACCGCCCAAGAGUUCAUAUCGACGGCGGUGUUUGGCACCUCGAUGUCGGCUCAUCACAUCCUGGGGCUGAAGUAGGUCCCAAGGGUAUGGCUGUUCGCCAUUUAAAGUGGUACGCGAGCUGGGUUUAGAACGUCGUGAGACAGUUCGGUCCCUAUCUGCCGUGGGCGCUGGAGAAUUGAGGGGGGCUGCUCCUAGUACGAGAGGACCGGAGUGGACGCAUCACUGGUGUUCGGGUUGUCAUGCCAAUGGCACUGCCCGGUAGCUAAAUGCGGAAGAGAUAAGUGCUGAAAGCAUCUAAGCACGAAACUUGCCCCGAGAUGAGUUCUCCCUGACUCCUUGAGAGUCCUGAAGGAACGUUGAAGACGACGACGUUGAUAGGCCGGGUGUGUAAGCGCAGCGAUGCGUUGAGCUAACCGGUACUAAUGAACCGUGAGGCUUAACCUUACAACGCCGAAGGUGUUU